UACGUAGGUGGCAAGCGUUGUCCGGAAUUACUGGGUGUAAAGGGCGUGUAGGUGGGAUUCCAAGUCAGAUGUGAAACUCCGCGGCUCAACUGCGGAACUGCAUCUGAAACUGGGAUUCUUGAGUGCUGGAGAGGAAAGCGGAAUUCCUAGUGUAGCGGUGAAAUGCGUAGAUAUUAGGAGGAACACCGGUGGCGAAGGCGGGUCUCUGGGCCGAUACUGACACUGAGGAGCGAAAGCGUGGGGAGCGAACAGG
rnacentral:rRNA from 1 species